AAGUAAUCAAUAAUUUCAGAGUUAGUCUUUAGCUUGAACAAAUAACUUUAGCAGGAGAGAAGUGUGAAUGGAUCUAACAAUCAAACACGAUGAACACACAAAAUCAGAUAGAGAUUCAACAUGUAAUUUAGGCCUUCAUUCAUACGUAGUUGAGAAUUAUAGAGGAAAUAAUUGACAUACCUAACAACAAGAGUAAAAGGCAGCAGAAUAAGACCAAAUAAAGGCCACACAAAAGGAUGAGAAAGGUUCAGCUAUGCAGGCAGCAGCGGAACACAGUCCUUUACCAAAUACGCAACAGCUCCGAUCCAAUGUAAUCAAUGAAGAACGAGUGCAAACAGAUAGAGGCAAAUUAUAAGUGAUAUCUUAACCAAAUUACCACAAUACAAAGUUUUCUGUUUUCCUUUCUACAGCGAAACUAAUGGAUCGACUGAUUCUCCACUCCAAAGUUCAAGUCGGAGGUGUAAUCUAAAUGGAGGUGAAUUUUUUUUAUCUUGGGACAAAAGGAAUCCAUCGAAACAUGGUCCACAAAAGAUAUAAAAAUUCAGCUUCUUCAAAUUUCUACCAACGAAAAGGAACUCUCAAUUGAAUUCCCCUGUGCGUCGUUUUUUAUUUCUUGUGAAGAAGGGAAGGGGUCUCAAGUGUAUGAAAAAAUCUGAUGCCCUUAGAUCUAGGUCUUGCCUUUUAUUAUAAAAAGAGUUUGGGUCAAGAGGGUAUUGGAUAUGGUAUUGGGCUUGGCUUGUGGGAAUUAGGUCAAUUUGAAUUCUAGCCGAAUUUUAAAAGAAACAAGACCAAAAAUAUGUUAUUCCUAUUUUCCUUUUCUUUGUUUUUUUUCCUUUUUUAAAAAACAAAAUCAAUUAAAAUCCUAAAUCAAUCUAUUAAAAUUCCUUAUUUAUUUUUAACAAUAAAACAACUAAUUAACUUAAAAAUAAGGAAAAAUUCUAAUUUUAAAGGCUAAAAUCCAAAUAUGUAAAAAUGACCAUUUUUUGUGAUUUUUGCUUAAUAAAAUUAAUUCCUACAUGCAAAUUGAGCCUAAGAUGACAUGAAAUUGAAAGGUGAUAAUUUUUCUAUGAUUUGUAAACAACUAAAUUACUAAUUAAUUCAAAAAUGCAAAAUUAGAUCCUAAAUGCAAAUGCAAUUGUAUUUUGUGUUUUUUCAUGAAUUAAAAAAAAUAAACGUGCACAGACAAAUGCAAACAAUUUAGAAAAAUGCUACAAAAACCUAUGAAAUUGCGAACAAUGGAAAAAAUUAUUUUGUUUUAAAUUUGUGGGAGUAAGUCAUAUAUAAGGCAAAAAUCACGUGCUCACAACUGCCCCUCUUUGCUCGGAAACACGGAGAGUUUCGUGCAAAGAUAAAGUGAGCGGAUACAAGCAAAUUUUGCCUGUUAGAAUACUCUGUGGGAAGCAUUUUUAAAAGAUUUGACCGCACCCUGCUUCCGAGGUUGCCUACAUUUUCUUGGCAAUAAAGGAAUCAGGUCAGUGUAGUCUGGGAAGUUUUGGUAGCUAGGACUACCAUGAAGCUGUGAUUUUACUGUUGUUGCUGCUGCUGCUACUACUUACUGAACCUCUUAUUACACCAUGAAAAAAUAAAAGAAGCUAGACUAAACUAUGAUCUAUCCAUUUCAAAAAUCCUAUCUAUGUCCUCAAACUUGAUCUUGCGAUUCCUGUUGACUUGUAUUCUCCAGGUGAAGUCUCUUUGUUGUCGAUUUGAAUUGUAAUCUGAGAUGCUUUCCCUUUUCUUCAGGCAGGCGCCUGAUUGCUGAACUUGAACCGUAUUCCCUUGCUCUCCAGGUGGCCGCUUGAUAGCCAAAACUUAACUGUGUUCUCUUGCUUUCUAGGUGGGCGCCUGAUUACCAAAACCUUAUCUAUAUUCCCUUGCUUUCCAGGUGGGCACCUGAUUACCAAAUCUUUAACUGUAUUCCCUUACUUUCCAGAUGGGCGCCUGAAUACCAAAUCUUUAGCUGUAUUCCCUUGCUCUCCAGGUGGGCGCCUGAUUACUACAUCUGAACUGUAUUCCCUUGCUUUCCAGGUGGGCGCCUGAUUGCCAAAGAUUUAACUAUAUUCCCUUGCUUUCUAGGUGGGUGUCCGAUUUCCAACACUUUAACUGUAUUCCCUUUCUCUCUAGGUGGGUGUGUGAUUGCCAAAACUUCAACUGUAUUCCCUUGCUCUCCAGGUGGGCGCAUGAUUGUUGAACUUUAACUGUAUUCCCGUGCUUUCCAAGUGGGCGCCUGAUUGCCAAAACUUGAACUGAAUUCUCGUGCUAUCCAGGUGGGCGCCUGAUUUCCAAAACUUGAACUGUAUUCCCGUACACUCUAGGCGGGCGCCUGAUUGCCAAAACUUGAACUGUAUUCCCAUGCUCUCCAGGUGGGUGCCUGAUUGCUGAACUUGAACUAUAUUCCCGUACUCUCCAGGUGGGCGCCUGAUUAUUGAAACUUGAACUGUAUUUCCGUGCUCUCCAAGUGGGCACCUGAUUUCCAAAAUUUGAACUGUAUUUCCGUGCUCUCCAAGUGGGCGCCUGAUUACCAAAACUUGAACUAUAUUCCCUUGCUCUCUAGGUGGGUGCCUGAUUGCCGAAACUUGAACUGUAUUCCCUUGCUCUCCAAGUGGGCUCCUGAUUGCCGAAACUUGAACUGUAUUCCCUUGCUCUCCAGGUGGGUGCCUGAUUUCCAAAACUGAACUGUAUUCCCUUGCUCUCUAGGUGGGUGCCUGAUUGCCAAAACUUGAACUGUAUUCCCUUGAUCUCCAGGUGGGCGCUUGAUUUCCAAAACUUACUCUGUAUUCCCUUGCUCUCCAGGUGGGCGCCUAAUUGCUGAAACUUGAACUGUAUUCCCUUGCUCUCCAGGUGGGCGCCUGAUUGCCGAAACUUGAACUAUAUUCCCUUGCUCUCCAAGUGGGCGCCUGAUUGCCAAAACUUGAAUUGUAUUCCCGUAUUUUCCAGGUGUGUGCCUAAUUACCAAAACUUGAACUAUAUUCCCGUGCUAUGCAGGUGGGCACCUGAUUGCCAAAACUUGAACUGUUCCUGUGAAACUACUGUCUUUGAACCUGAUUACAACAAAACAAAAGAAAUUUUCCUGCCCCAACUUGGUGUUGGGUGCAUCUGUGAGUGUUAAUUGAAUCAUGUUACCAAAUAUCUCUAAGAAUUCGAAAGCUAAAUCUCAUUAUCCAGGAGUAUCCUGAAAACUCCUAGUUAAAUGAUAGCUUUAAAUCUAAAUUAUAUCUUCUAAAGGUAUGACUCCAACUAAACCUUGUUAUCUAAGAGGAUCUUAAAACUACAUCUCAUUAUCCAUGAGGGUCCUGAAAAUCAAAAAUCAAGUCUUAUCUUAAGAGUGACAACUUUUACGGUUGAAUUACACUACCCUACAACAGAACUUACGAUAAAUCUUGUUAUCUAAUGGAAAUCUUAAAGCUAAGUCCCAUUAUUCAGGAGGGUCCUGAAAGCUCUUCAUUGAAUCCUAUCUCAAGCAUGAAAACUUUGAAGCCAACUUAUAUUCCUUUGAAGUGCAUUUUAUGCUAGAUUUUGCUGCUCAUAAUUAUUUUGAAUUUUAAACUAGGUCCCAUUUUUCAGGAGGGUCCUGAGAAUUUACGGUCAAACCUGUCUGGUGCUUGCUUUUCCUUAUGGAGGGUUUCUUCAAAACAAACGAAAAUUUCUGCCCCUAUUUCAAAUCAAGAAAAAUCUUGUCAGUUUUAAAAAUAUGGUGGUUGGUUUGUGGCCUUGACUUUGAGGGCGAUUGCUCCUCCAUUUCCCACAAUAACUUUGAUUUCCACUCGAAGACCUUGCUUGUUUACUGACUAACCACUUUCUUUGUCACCCAUAUCACAGAAAAUACCUCAUCUCUGUUCAGACCCAAUACCUUAUAUCUGUUGCAUUGCUCAUGAACUAACAUUUACCAAACCUUUGUGUCUCACAUGAAUCCCAAAACACGUCAGUUUCCAUCCACUCAGUGCGCGUGCUGUUCUUUCCUGACUGAAAUCACUGGCCUUGGCCUUGAGGUCUAUUGUUCCAUCACUUGCCAUGAUAACUUUGGUUUAUGCUUGGAAGACCUUGCUUGUCACUGGUUAACCACUUUCUUUGUCAAUCUUAUCACAGAAAAUACAUUUUAUCCGUUCACCCUACACCCUCCAUCUGUUGCAUUGUUCAUGAAUUGAUAUAUACCAAACCUUUGUAUUUCACAUGAACCCCAAAGCAUGUUGAUUGUUACCAACUCAGUGCGCACGUUGUUCUUUCCUGACUUAUGCCACUUUGAUGUGCUAGCCAGAUCCCGUUUUGUGCAAUUUGGAAAGCUGGUGGUAAAUUUUGAAGUCAUUUCUCACUUGUUCUGACCAAACAGACUCAGGAAUAGGAAGUAAACAAGACAAAAGGAACAGAGUAAAGGAAAAUGGAAAGAGAUGAUUCCUAACAAGAAAACUACAAAGUAGGAACCUAUCAAAUGUGAAUACCAACUCUAAUGACCAUGGCAUGCACCUGUGGCAUAUUCCGUCAAUGCAACUCUGAUGUUCGACUCUUGUUAUACCCCUAAACCAUGAAACUAUGCUUCAAUGCUCCGAUUAUCUAAUAUGAUUCAUGAUCCUUAUUCGACUUGUAGUGCCUACAGGGUUUUCACCAUCAAGUCUCUCUCAUUUUGUUCUUUCUCUCAACUCAUCGUCGCCUUAUGGUGCCUGUGAAGGUUUUCACCAAUAAGACUCUCUCAUUUUGUUCUUCUCUUUGCAGAAUAGAGUGUUGCUCCUGAUGUGAAUCAUACCUCUAACUCGCCUGACUUGGCACUUCUCAAAGAUUGAUCGGAAGGUCUUUCUUUGCACUGUAAUGCGGGUUUUUGGAUGGAGUUAGAAAGAAAGGAUAAAGGCUCAAAAACAGCUUAAAAGGGCUCAAAAUUACAACUUUUGGAAUCAGAUUUCUUACAACAAUCACAACUUUCUGCCCUAGUUUCUUUGCUUGGGGAUUUUUGAAUUUUUAUUUUGAUGGGACUGAACCGUGAGGAUGCCUACGUAUCCUUAAAAGGAAUCAGGUCGAACGUAGUUUAUGACAUAAGAAUUGCUUUGUUUUUGUACUUUUCUCUCUUCUUAUUUUUUUCUUUUUCUCUCUUUUUUUUCUUUUCUUUUCUCUACUCUUUUUCCAUUUUUUCUUUCUCUUCUUCUCUUCUUUUUUUUUUCUUUUUCUUUUCUCUCCUUUUUUCUGUAUCAGAUUUCUAAACUGUGCUUCUGAUUCCAGUAGAGGGAUAUGAAAGAAAAUAAAUAAGGCUCAAAGGGGCAACAAGGAAAAAGUGUUUAGAUAGCAGAACAAAAUGUCUUCGUCAUUCCAAUCUUCAAAACAUGCCGAGUACAAACACCGCAUUUAAACAAACCAAAGAAAUUAUACAUAAUAUCUUUUGACUGCAUCAGAAUCGAUAGCCAUAUCCACACAUUGCCUUCUACAUCUGUUAAGUACAAAGCACCAUCGGACAACACUCUCGUUACCAACACGACCCCUACCAAAUUGCGACAAACUUGCCUUUAGCUUUAGCCUGAUGUGGUAGGAUGCAUUUCAAUAGUGUUUCUUUAUUUUCUAUCUGCCCCAUUUUCACACAAUUCGGGCUUUGUGAUCCCAAAAUGUCCAAAUCUAUAAUUAUUUCCCUCAAAUGUCCCUAUCAUCUUCAAAAUUGUUUCAUUGCUCCAUGAUUAAACUAACUAUUGAGACCAGACCUAGAAUUAUGUGUGCGUGUCAUGUCACUAGAGCCAGCAGGAAAGGAACUAAAAAAGGAAAAGAGAACUAAACAAAAAUGACUAAAAAUAACAGAAAAUAGAAAAUUGCAUUACAGAUGGUGAAAGGGUUUGAACAACAAAACAUGCAAACUAAACUGGGGUUACAACCCUAUAACAAACCUAGACAACACUAAACGAGCUACUACGACUAAACGAACUAGGAAAAAUAAGAGGAUAGAAGUGUUUGAGUCACAAGACAAUAUCUGGAUUACAACCCUGAAAUAACCCGGACAACAAAAAUACCAACAAAAUAAACCACCAAGACUCCUCCCCAACUUGUCAAGAGAGGAGCGUCUUUCCAAUUACCGAGCUCUGCGUCUUAGCCACUGCGUUCAACAUCAACAUUGCUAGAACCUUCACAAGUCUUCAUCUCAUUGUCCUUAGCAAAUUGCUUUUGGGUCCCUUUGGCCGGCUCAUUCUUAUGAUCAACUUUCGGAACCAAUAGUGAUAACACUGAAAACUUUUCGGCAACUGGCCCUCCGAGGAUCUCAUAAUAGUUCUCCUAUUCCUUUUCCACACAAAUCAUGUACUCCAUAUGUGUCUCAGGCAAUGGACUUUGGCUAGUAUCUGCUGCAUUUGGAUUUUGCGCAGUAAUGUCACCUGCAUCAAUAAGCUUCUGGACUGCUCCUUUCAGAUGCUAACAAUUUUCUAUGUCAUGCCCCGGGGCAUCUGAGCAAUAUGCGCACCUUUGAGAAAAAUCAAACUUCUUUGGAAGAGGGUUUGGCAUUUUUAUCUGAAUCAGCUUCAACAUGUCCAAUUUCCCCAGCCUCUGGAACAGACUGGCAUAUGAUUCUCCAAUAGGGGUGAAAGCUUUUUCUUUUUUCGGUAGUAUUUUCAUUUUAUACUCUGGCCUCGGUUGGAACCUUUUGCGGGCAGGCGGUUGAUAUGCCUGAGGGGACAGGUAAGACAUUUGUGGAAGUGGUGCGGGCCAUCGCGGGCCUCAUGGAUGUGGAGCAUAUGGUGGCGCAUUGUGGACGGGAUAUCGGGAAAGUGAUGUAUGAUUUUGGGGGUUCUGUGGAGAGAAGUAGUAGUAGGGAGGAUUACACGGAUAUCCGCAGGGUCGAUGUUGAGGCUGAAAGCGUUUAGCAAGAAAGACCACUGGACCCUGUGGACGACGGGGCUCAGCAACAUCUUUUCUAUCAAUGGGAGGACUAUCCCGAGUAACUUGUUCAUUCCAUCUGAGCCAAAAAUCCCUAAAACUUUCCUUGGCUUUAUUUUCCAUCUAAUAUAGGGAGGAGCGGUCUGGGACAAUGUCUAUAUUGUACUGAAAGCGUCGCACAAAAUCUUGAGCCACGUCGCCCAAUGUAUGCCACUUACCGACAUCUUGACGAUUAUGACAUUCCAAAGCUGCCCUAGUCAAGCUCUCACUAAAAUAUGCCAUCAACAAAUCAUUUUUCUCGCCAACACUUCUCAUUUCACUGUAAUAAUCCCUCAAAUGGGCUACCGGAUCUCCAUACCGAUCAUACAAGUUAAACUUUGGCACUUUAAAACCUGCGGGCAGGCGAACGUCAGGGAACAUACACAACUCUUUGUAAGACAUGUUAACCUGGUCUCCCAUACCUUGCAUGUUCUUUAAGGACUGUUCUAUGCUUUUCAGCUUUCUGGAUAUCUUGUCUCGACCUUCUUUUCCUGUGACUUUUUCAUCUUCAGCAUGAAGCUCAUCCCGAGGGCUCUUCUUGUAUGAGUCAGGAACCUUGUGGGCAACCUCUGCGGGGUAGUAUUAGGCAUCAUGAGCUUUGAGUGGAUAUUCAUUGUUGGAAAUAGUGGAUAUGACAGGAGGGCAAUUUUGGGGAGAGGUAAUUGGAGGAAGAGUGAUGGAGCUACUAGGAUGGUUUGGAAAGCUGUGAUAAAUGGGUGGAUUUGGAGAGUAUGGGGAUCAUUUGGCACUAUGACCGAAGUUUGGGUAAGGGUAGAAUCUAUGAAUCUAGGUGGUGGCGGGGGUGGUGCCUUCCCAGUCAUCCAGGCCUGAUACAUGUCUGUCAUGUGUUGUCUUAACAUCCUUACCUCAUCAGCCAAACCAGUGUCCUGUUCAACUAACUGCUUUCGGGCACCGGUAUCAACCAACCCAAUUUUGUUGUUGUCCGCCAUUGCCUUUUGACUUUAUGUUGUGGAGAGGAGUUACUACUUCGAGAACCACAAACCAACCACCUUUCUCCUAUGAAGAUAUCAAAAGGAACAAAAUGGGGGCAUCCCGUUAGCGUCAGGGCAUUCAACAGCAAAAAUAUCACAUUGCGUGCAAUGCACAUAGCAACAAUUAGGUUCUAGAAUAACUUCGAGGGUCAUAAGGUCACUUGGCAUCAUCCUAAUUUGUCCAUUUGAAUCUUCUCUUCUCUUUGCUUUCCUCGCACUUCUUAGCUCGCUCAAUUUCUUUCCCCUUUUUUCUUUCUGAUUAUCGCUCUUUUUCUUCCUUCUCAUUUCUCACAUCCCAUAAUUUCACCAUCUUAUUCUUCUUCUUUUUUCCUUUUCAUUUGGUAAUAAUAAAAAAAUAAUUCGAUCGAACCCAAUGUAGGUUGCCUACGUAUCAUGACGUCGCAUGAAUCAGAUCUUUGCGUAGUUCUGGAAGAUCGGGAAUAAAGUAAACAAACUAACAUUCUCAUUUUUUUUACCUUAAUGACUACACUGAUGAGAAAAGAGAAAUAAAAGAAGCAAACCCCUUUUUUGAAUUUUCUAGGCUUAAUGUUCCAUAACCUAUUCUAAACUCAAUCUUAAACAAGCAUGUUUUUCUUUUUGAAACAAAUACUCUAUGGGAAAUUAUCAAGGAAAAAAUCCUAGAAUAGAAAAAUAUUUUUUGAUUCUUUUUUUUUUUGGAAGAAAAUCUAAAGAAUAAAUCAAAGAAAAAUAUUUUGAAUUUUCAUUUGAUAUCCCUGAAGAAAGAUUUCGAAACGAGAAAUGAACAAGAUAAAAAUUAUUUUUGGAUUUCAAUUUAAAUACCUAAGGGAGAAACUCUGCAAAUAAGCCAAAGAUAAAGAAUGUUGUUUUUUAUUCUAUGUACAAGGUCUAAAGUUCUAAUGAAAAUAAAAGAAUUUUUUUUUUCAUUAAUUUCGCAAAGAAGAACCUCAAAAGAAAAUCUUUUUGGAUUUUUGGGAAUUAAUAUCUUAAAGAAAACUUUUAAAGAGGUAAUAAAAGAAAAUUCUUUUUUUUUUUUUGAAUUUUUAGUGUUAAUGUACUAAAAGGAAAUAUAAAAGCAUUUUUAUUUUGAAUUCUAGAUAUUAAUUUCCUAAGGAAAACCACAAAAGAUUUUUUUUUUUUGAGCUUCUAGAGUUAGUAUUCUGAAGAAAACAUCUAACAGAAAUAUAAAAACUCAAAAUCUUUUUUUUUGGGUUUUUGAUUUAUUACACACUUUUCCAAAUGCAAAACAGAAAUAAUAAUAAAAAACUCAACAUCACUAUGCAAAACUAGAAGGUAAAAGAUGACAUAAAAAGAAAACUCAAAAUAUAAAGAAGAAAAGAACAUCUCCUUUUAAUCCACUCCUGAAUGAGCGAUCCAGACUAAAUGGUCCUGGGGCUCUGUCAUGCUCAAACUCCAGUAAGUAGAUCCACACUUGUAUGAGAAAACUUUAACCAACACUAUGUGAGAUAAUAACAUUCCCUAUUAGACACAUGCAAGACAUGAUUGAGACUAUUUUUCUAAAAUUAACCUAUGUGGCUAAAAGUGGCUAAAAAUGCAAGAUUUGGCUAAGACCCCGUGAAGCCAAGAACCUAAGACUUACUAGGAAGACCAGACCCUAUGUGGGUUGCUUACGUAUCCUGCCCCGAGAGACGAAAAUCAGGUUCGCGUAGUUCGGGCAGAUUGGAUACGGGCGAGAAUUAAAAAAAACAACUAAUUUAGAGAUUUUUUUUUUUGAAAAAUGACGAAACAUGAAAACUCUUUUUGGAUUUUCUUUUCCAUUUUAUUUUUUUUUUUUGAAAAAUGAGGGGAAAGUGCAAAAUCUCCUUUUUGGGUCUUCAUUUUUUUAAUAAAAACGUGACAGAAAACAUAAUCGGACCCUACUUGCUUUAUUUUUCACACUUCACCCUCUAUUUUUUUUUCUUUUUUUUCUUUUUCAUUUUCCCUCAACUAUCAUUGGUCCGCCAAAUGACCCUUUUACCCUUGAAGAUUGCAACAUGUAGCACAUUAGGAUGCAUCAGGAUGGUCUUUUAUUUUUGGGUACACCUGUCCUAGACGGACCCAACCCUUGUGUUGAGUCCCCAAGGUCAAAAGCACAUGAUGAAAACAAACGUUCCUACUAGGGAUCCGGCAUGAGGCUGAGUUAUUCUAAGUAUAAAGCAUGGGUAUACUGUUCUAGACUUGUACACCCGAGCGGACAAUUCGAGCCGAGAAGGGGGCUACGUACCGAGAACCAAAAGGCCAUCCAGCUUAGUAACUUGUCCGAGCCUCUUUCUUAUUUCAAGGUAUGACACUAACAGAAUAGGGAGUCGCGCCAGCGUGCACAUCCCCGAAGAUGAGAAGAGAAGGGUUUCGUAUUAGUUUAUAUACAGUUCAGAUAAUAUUAAAGCGGUAAAAAGCAGCACUUAGCACAUUAGGACCAAACAUGUGAAUAAAAUCAGAUAAUAAAUAAAGCCAAAUACAAUAAUUAUUCUAAGCUCUAAUUCUUGAACCCUGAACCAGAAGUUCUGGGUUCUGAUACCCAGCAGAGUCUCCAGAGUUGUCACACCUCCUUUUUACCUACACCCCGAAAGAGGUAUAUGGGAGUUUUUUCCAAUUUAAGUGACAAUCGAAACGGGAUUAUUUAAAAAAAAAAUCAGAGUCGCCACUUGGGAUAAUUUUAUGGUGUCCCAAGUCACCGGUUCAAAUCCCAAAUCGAGGAAAAGAUUGACUCUGUAUUACAGUCCGCGAACACAAAAAUUCGGGCAAGGAAUUCUGUUAACUCGGGAGAAGGUGUUAGGUAUUCCCGGAUUUCGUGAUUCUAGCACAGUCGCUCAACUGUUAUAAUUGGCCUAUUAUCUAAUUUUAAUACAUAUUUUAACCUAUGGUUCAAUUUUAACUUUAUAACUGCUUUUAUUUAAAUAUUUUUUAGGAAGAUUCAAUGUCACAUAAAACGCGUCUUGGACCACGUCACAUAAAUACACCUGCAGUCCACAACAUAUUUUAUCUAACAUUGUUGAGAUUUGGAUUUGGGUCACAUAAAUGUGCACCCGAGUUUAGAAAAGUAACUUUUUAAUAGCGCGCCUAAAGCAGCUAUGCACUUUCAACUUUGCGAGGGCCAUGGAAAAUUCAACUAAAUGGCUCGCCUCGAUUCCUAAAGGAUUAAAAUUAUUUAAGCGAGGGCCAUGAAUUUUGGAAUUUUAUUCGACAUGGCGCGCCUCGAAUCUCUUUCUUCAAGAUUUUCCCUCUCCAUCUUUAACAUGGCUUCUUGCUGAGCAAUUUCUCACGACGAGAGAGCUCAGCUUUUCAAGCGGCUUCACGCUCAGCAACUUCCCAUUCACGCUCCUCAAUGUAAGUCUGCAUCUCCCUCUCUUUCAAUUCUUGUACGAAUUUAUCAAUCACUGCUUUAAUCAAACUAACAGAGAGUCUAGUCAAUUAGGUGUUGAAGAAACUAUCUUGAUUUCUGAUUAUUAGCUAAAUGGCUUGUAAGAAAGCAUCUGAACAAUUAAAACUUCAUGACCACGUCGUUCAUGGCUAAAAUCAUGGGCUAGGCUUAAAUUAACAAAUAACUUUAGCCUUAAUAUAAUAGAAUUCACAUAAUUACUUACCAAAAUUGAUUAAGCAAUAAAUCAACAGAUAUAACUCUCCAAGUAAUCAAUAAUUUCAGAGUUAGUCUUUAGCUUGAACAAAUAAUUUUAGCAGGAGAGAAGUGUGAAUGGAUCUAACAAUCAAACACGAUGAACACACAAAAUCAUAGAGAGACUCAACAAGUAAUUUAGGCCUUCAUUCAUACAUAGUUGAGAAUUACAAAAGAAAUAAUUGACAUACCUAACAGCAAAAGCAAAAGGCAGCAGAAUAAGACCAAAUAAAGUCCAGACAAAAGGAUGAGAAAGGUUAAGCUAUGCAGGCAGCAGCGGAACACAGUCCUUUACCAAAUAUGCAACAACUCUGAUCCAAUGUAAUCAAUGAAGAAUGAGUGCAAACAAAUAGAGGCAAAUUAUAAGUGAGAUCUUAAUCAAACUACCACAAUACAACGUCUUUCGUUUCCUUUCUACAGUUAAACUAAUGGAUCGACUGAUUCUCCACUCCAAAGUUCAAUUCAGAGGUGUAAUCUAAAUGGAGAUGGAUUUUUUUUAUCAUGGGACAAAUGGAAUCCAUCGAAACAUGGUCCACAAAAGAUAUAAAGUUUCAGCUUCUUCAAAUUGCUACCAACGAAAAGGAACUUUCAAUUGAAUUCCACUGUGUGCCGUUUUUUAUUUCUUGUGAAGAAGGGAAGGGGCCUCAAGUGUAU
rnacentral:lncRNA from 1 species